rnacentral:rRNA from 1 species
GUGUCAGCAGCCGCGGUAAUACGAAGGGGGCUAGCGUUGUUCGGAAUUACUGGGCGUAAAGCGCGCGUAGGCGGUUUUGCAAGCCAGAGGUGAAAUGCCUGAGCUUAACUUAGGAAUUGCCUUUGGGACUGCGAGGCUUUGAGGACGAGAGAGGUGAGUGGAAUUCCCAGUGUAGAGGUGAAAUUCGUAGAUAUUGGGAAGAACACCGGUGGCGAAGGCGGCUCACUGGCUCGUUUCUGACGCUGUAGCGCGAAAGCGUGGGGAUCAAACAGGAUUAGAAACCCUCGUAGUCC